UACGUAGGGGGCGAGCGUUGUCCGGAUUCAUUGGGCGUAAAGCGCUUUAAGGCGGUUCGGUAAGUCGCGUGUGAAACCUCCAGGCUCAACCUCGGGCCUGCAGUGGGUACGGGCAAACUAGAGUGCGGUAGGGGAGAAUGGAAUUCCUGGUGUAGCGGUGGAAUGCGCAGAUAUCAGGAGGAACACCGAUGGCGAAGGCAGUUCUCUGGGCCGUAACUGACGCUGAGGAGCGAAAGCGUGGGGAGCGAACAGG
rnacentral:rRNA from 1 species